ensembl:snRNA U6 U6 spliceosomal RNA
GUGCUCACUUUGGCAGCAUAUAUGCUAAAAUUGACACAGAGAAGAUUUGCAUGGCCCCUACACAAGGGUGACAUGCAAAUUCUUGAAGCGUCCCAUAUUUUU